rnacentral:rRNA from 1 species
AAUGAACGUUGGCGGCGUGGAUUAGGCAUGCAAGUCGUGCGGAAAGGCUCCUUCGGGAGUACUCGAGCGGCGACAGGGAGAGUAACGCGUGGAUAUCUACCACCUGGCCUGGGAAAGCGGCGGGAAACUGCCGGUAAUACCAGAGAAAAACUGCGGAUGAAAGGUGAGAUGCCGCCGGGGGAUGAGUCCGCGUCCUCUUCGCUAGUUGGUGAGGUAAGGGCGCACCAAGGCUGAGAUGGGUACCGGGUGUGAGGAGCAUGGCCCGGCUCACUGGGACUGAGACACUGCCCAGACACCUACGGGUGGCUGCAGUCGAGAAUCUUCGGCGAUGGGCGCAAGCCUGACCGAGCGACGCCGCGUGCGGGAUGAAGGCCUUCGGGUUGUAAACCGCUGUCAGAGGGGAGGAAAUGCAUGGGGGUUCUCCCUCAUGUUUGACCUAUCCUCAGAGGAAGUACGGGCUAAGUUCGUGCCAGCAGCCGCCGUAA